rnacentral:rRNA from 1 species
UAGGGAAUCUUCCACAAUGGACGCAAGUCUGAUGGAGCAACGCCGCGUGAGUGAAGAAGGUCUUCGGAUCGUAAAACUCUGUUGUUAGAGAAGAACACGAGUGAGAGUAACUGUUCAUUCGAUGACGGUAUCUAACCAGCAAGUCACGGCUAACUACGUGCCAGCAGCCGCGGUAAUACGUAGGUGGCAAGCGUUGUCCGGAUUUAUUGGGCGUAAAGGGAACGCAGGCGGUCUUUUAAGUCUGAUGUGAAAGCCUUCGGCUUAACCGGAGUAGUGCAUUGGAAACUGGAAGACUUGAGUGCAGAAGAGGAGAGUGGAACUCCAUGUGUAGCGGUGAAAUGCGUAGAUAUAUGGAAGAACACCAGUGGCGAAAGCGGCUCUCUGGUCUGUAACUGACGCUGAGGUUCGAAAGCGUGGGUAGCAAACAGGAUUAGAUACCCUGGUAGUCCACGCCGUAACGAUGAAUGCUAGGUGUUGGAGGGUUUCCGCCCUUCAGUGCCGCAGCUAACGCAAUAAGCAUUCCGCCUGGGGAGUACGACCGCAAGGUUG